UACGUAGGGCGCAAGCGUUAUCCGGAAUUAUUGGGCGUAAAGAGCUCGUAGGCGGCCAACUAAGUCAUACGUGAAAUCCCUCAGCUUAACUGGGGAACUGCGCCUGAUACUGGUUGGCUUGAGUUUGGGAGAGGGACGCGGAAUUCCAGGUGUAGCGGUGAAAUGCGUAGAUAUCUGGAGGAACACCGGUGGCGAAGGCGGCGUCCUGGACCAAUACUGACACUGAGGAGCGAAAGCCAGGGGAGCAAACGGG
rnacentral:rRNA from 1 species